GAUGAAGAACGUAGCGAAAUGCGAUAAGUAAUGUGAAUUGCAGAAUUCAGUGAAUCAUCGAAUCUUUGAACGCACCUUGCGCUCCUUGGCAUUCCGAGGAGCAUGCCUGUUUGAGUGUCAUUAAAUUCUCAAGACCUGUCUGCUUUUUUGAUAGGUAUUGGAUUUUGGGGGUUGCAGGCUGUUUCAAAUAAAUAGCCUUGCUCUCCUUGAAUGUAUUAGUGGAGAAAAGCCAUUGAACUCCAUUGGUGUGUUAAAACCUAUCAAUGCCAGGAGCAAUAUCACUACUUCUCUCUGCUGUCUAACUGUGACUGUCUGUAUUAAUUAGUAUGGAUGGGGACAACUUGACCAACUUGACCUCAAAUCAGGUAGGACUACCCGCUGAACUUAAGCAUAUCAAUAAGCGGAGGA
rnacentral:misc_RNA from 1 species